rnacentral:rRNA from 1 species
GUGCCAGCCGCCGCGGUAAUACGAAGGGGGCUAGCGUUGUUCGGAAUUACUGGGCGUAAAGGGCGCGUAGGCGGACGAUUAAGUCAGGGGUGAAAUCCCAGGGCUCAACCCUGGAACUGCCUUUGAUACUGGCCGUCUGGAGUUCGGGAGAGGUGAGUGGAAUUCCGAGUGUAGAGGUGAAAUUCGUAGAUAUUCGGAGGAACACCAGAAGCGAAGGCGGCUCACUGGCCCGAUACUGACGCUGAGGCGCGAAAGCGUGGGGAGCAAACAGGAUUAGAAACCCCAGUAGUCC